rnacentral:rRNA from 1 species
UACGUAGGGCGCAAGCGUUUAUCCGGAAUUAUUGGGCGUAAAGAGCUCGUAGGCGGUUUGUCGCGUCUGCCGUGAAAGUCCGGGGCUCAACUCCGGAUCUGCGGUGGGUACGGGCAGACUAGAGUGAUGUAGGGGGAGACUGGAAUUCCUGGUGUAGCGGUGGAAUGCGCAGAUAUCAGGAGGAACACCGAUGGCGAAGGCAGGUCACUGGGCCGCAACUGACGCUGAGGAGCGAAAGCAUGGGGAGCGAACAGG